UACGAAGGGGGCUAGCGUUGCUCGGAAUUACUGGGCGUACAGGGCACGUAGGCGGCUUCUUAAGUCGGUGGUGAAAUCCUGGAGCUCAACUCCAGAACUGCCUUCGAUACUGGGAAGCUCGAGUCCGGGAGAGGUGAGUGGAACUGCGAGUGUAGAGGUGAAAUGCGUAGAUAUUCGCAAGAACACCAGAGGCGAAGGCGGGUACCUGGACAAUUACUGACGCUCAGGCACGAAAGCAUGGGGAGCAAACGGG
rnacentral:rRNA from 1 species